AGCUUUCCUUUGCCAUUCAUGGCUAAGAUCAAGUUGUAGUAUCUGUUCUUGACACCUUAAAACGUGUUACGAGUGCCUCUUACCGGCCUCGAUCCGCACCUUGUAAAGGUCAAUCUUUUGAAAGAGCAAGGGCUGCUGCUGGGUCGACCGCUAUGUGCUUGCACAUGACGGUUCUCGGCUGUGUCCUUCGUGUCCCUGGUAUCACACUGCCUCCAGGCGAUGCGUAAUUUGU
rnacentral:snRNA from 1 species